GUAAGUGAACCUGCGGAAGGAUCAUUAACACUAAUGGAAUCCAAAACCUUUUGGAUCAACCCAACCUUAGCGAACCGUUCGUUUUUUUCCCUUGCCCCUUUUUUUACUAGACCAAACUCAAUCUGAUGUAAAGUGUCUGAUUUCUUAUUCUCGGCCGCAGGGGAAACCCCUCUGUGCGGGAAUCAAAAUCUAACGCAAUACAACUCUUAACAACGGAUAUCUUGGCUCUC
rnacentral:misc_RNA from 1 species